UACAGCCAUAUCACGUUGAAAAACCAGUUUCUGUACGAUCACCCGAGUUAAGCAACAUCGAGCAUGGUCAGUACCUAGAUAGGUGACCGCUUGGGAAUAACAGGUGCUGUAA